rnacentral:rRNA from 1 species
GAUGAACGCUGGCGGCGUGCUUAACACAUGCAAGUCGAACGGAAAGGCCCUGCUUUUGCGGGGUGCUCGAGUGGCGAACGGGUGAGUAACACGUGAGUAACCUGCCCUUGACUGUGGGAUAACUUCAGGAAACCGGGGCUAAUACCGGAUAGGAGCUCCUGCAGCAUGAUGGGGGUUGGAAAGUUUCGGCGGUUGGGGCUGGACUCGCGGCUUAUCAGCUUGUUGGUGGGGUAGUGGCUUACCAAGGCUUUGACGGGUAGCCGGCCUGAGAGGGUGACCGGCCACAUUGGGACUGAGGUACGGCCCAGACUGCUACGGGAGGCAGCAGUGGGGAAUAUUGCCCAAUGGGCGGAAGCCUGAUGCAGCAACGCCGCGUGCGGGAUGACGGCCUUCGGGUUGUAAACCGCUUUCGCCUGUGACGAAGCGUGAGUGACGGUAAUAGGUAAAGAAGCACCGGCUAACUACGUG